GAAAAAAUUCAAAAACGACAGCAGAAAAAGCAAAACAGUAAUAGGAAAAACUUCAUGACAGGUAACAGAUACAUAUGCUAUAAAGCCACAGUGCAGUUCCAACAGAAUGGUAAGAUUGUGAAUAUGGCUAAAGGGUGAACUGUAUGUCUGUUGUUUGAGUACCCUCCAUCUAUCCAUGAAAUGGCUCUUGACAAGAAGGUUGAACACCAGGUAAUGACUUCUUGAAUUCAAGAAGUAGCUUGAGCUCAUUGAUGUAAGAAUAGCUCACACCAAUGUAAUCAUGAUCUUCAAGGAACGUCAGAUCUCUCUGGUGUGUCAGGCGUCUAAAGGAAGCUGGGUGUUCUGUUGGGAACCCACAACUUUGUAGACAUAUGAGAAUGAAAGAGAUUUCAUUCUGUUCUUUGCAGAAGAGUUGCUUGAAUUCUAAAAAUGUCUCACGGCUGUGAGAAGGAAUUAGCUUGCAAUAUUGUGGAAUUUCCCAAGGCUUUGACAAAUUAUUACCACCUUGUAGCACUCAAUAAAUAAGGCCAUUUCAUACCCAAAUCCAUCUGAAUCCUUACCCAGCAAGGAAAGAACCUGGUUCAAGAAAGGACACAAGCUAGGACCCAUAUCAGUAUCUAUCUAGUAGGAGUCAUGCAGCGCAACAAAAUAUACUUUUCUGUUCGAAGUUGCAAGGGAAGACCUCUCAGUAGUAGGACACAGCAAAGUCCAAAGAAAACAGUCCAACUAAAAGAAAAGGGAAUUGAAAGACAGCUAGGAGUGGUGCCUACUAAAGAGAAUACACUGAUGCCUCAAGAACAAUUUCCCAGUGGCUCUGCAUCUCUUGAAUUUCACAUGAGCAACAAAGGGGGCCUUAUGAAACACCUUAGGACAACAGUGAGGAAAAUGUUCCCAUUCUAUCAAAAGACA
rnacentral:lncRNA from 11 species